rnacentral:rRNA from 1 species
UGCGACCGGCGCACGGGUGAGUAACACGUAUCCAACCUGCCGAUGACUCGGGGAUAGCCUUUCGAAAGAAAGAUUAAUACCCGAUGGCAUAGUUCUUCCGCAUGGUAGAACUAUUAAAGAUUUCGGUCAUCGAUGGGGAUGCGUUCCAUUAGGUUGUUGGCGGGGUAACGGCCCACCAAGCCUUCGAUGGAUAGGGGUUCUGAGAGGAAGGUCCCCCACAUUGGAACUGAGACACGGUCCAA